GAGUCAGACCUAGGCUCUCGCAGAGAACUGCAUCGCGCUCCCAGCUCUGCUGCCUCGGUGCGGGGACGGGGCUCUGCAUGAGGACUGGGAAUGUAAGUCCCGGGCCUGGACAGGCGCCCCUGGGAGCUAGCCUGGAGGAGAUUCAGUAGAAGGCUGAGGAGUCGGCUUGGAGGGUCUCGGCAAGGCGGCGCGGAUGGAGAUGAAGCUGCGAAGAAUGCUGAGAAAGAGCGGCCGGGGGCCUUGGAGGGAAGCUAGGGAAACGCUGCGGGGGCAGCCGAGGCCGUCGGCGCCCCGGGAGAAGAGAAAAGCAGCCUGAUUCGGAGGAACGGGUUGCUUGGGGCGGCUCCCAGCUCGAGUUGUGGGCCCCGCCGCGGGUGCCCUUCGGAAACGCGCUGACACCAGGCGAAGCCGCCUCUGCCCGGACGCAGCCCGACACUUGGCCCGCGGGGUUCCCCGGGACGCCUGAGAGUAAUGGGCGCGAGGGGGAAAGCCGAACGGCCUCCCUGUGCCCGGCGCAGGCGGUGCCCCCUAGCUGGGUUCGCCGCGGCGGCGCUGCGAGCCCCCGACACUGAGGACUUUUGGUCCAACAGUCCGACGGGGCCCGGUGCGCCGUUCCCUCCGCCCUCUCCCCGCUCCCCGGCCCGCGCGUCUUGGAGGGUGGGUGAAUUGUCGGAAGCACUCUACGCCUGGCCAACCCAAACCAGGAACCUCCGCACCAAACAGCCCACGUUGCUGCUGCUCUGGGGUUUUAACGGCCAAGGGAGACUGGAGAAGGGGUGUUCUGCCUUCCCAUUCUCUUAGGCCCGUCCACUCCCCAUCCCCACAGUUUGGAAGUGGCCUUUUCUGAGGACUCCAGCGCAAAGCAUGUUUCUCCUUUUGAGCUGCGGAAGCCUUGCUUGUUCCCGCCAUUGGGAGGGCAUUCCAUCAUCUGCAGCUGCCUUCCUCGGUGGGCCUUGUCCCUUAGCGUCCACCUAGGGGACAUUCUAAGCUUCUUGAGACCUGCUUGUCCACCCCAACAUGUCUCAGCAUAUGGCUGUGCCCUAAGGGGUCUUUGAGGGCAUUUUAGGAGGUGAGCGGCGCCCCUACCUGGGCUCCGCGGGGCCGAUUCGGUUUGCCCUUUGCUGGCAUGUCAGUGAAUUAACUGCUGUCCUUGGGAUGACCUGCCCUAUGAUUUGGCCUCUGGAGCAUCCCGGGUGUGUAUUUCAGAACUCCUCCCAUCUUAUCCACCUGCUGAAGGCCUGGCCCCCUGAUAUGGUUUGGCUCUGUUUCCCCACCCAAAUCUCACCUUGAAUUUUAAUAAUCCCCACGUGUCAUGGGCGGGACCAGGUGGAGGUAAUUGAAUCAUGGAGGUGGUUUCCUGAACGCUGCUCUCGUGACAGUGAGUUCACAAGAUUUUUUUUUUUAACGGAGUAUCACUCUGUCACUCAGGCUGGAGUGCAGUGGCGCGAUCUUGGUUCACUGCAACCUCUGCCUCCCGGGUUCAAGAGAUUCUCCUGCCUCAGCCUCCCGAGUAGCUGGGAUUACAGGUGCGCGCCAUCACGCCCGGCUAAUGUGUAUUUUUAGUAGAGAAAGGGUUUCACCAUGUUGGUUAGGCUGGUCUGGAACUCCUGACCUUGUGAUCUGCCUGCCUCGGCCUCCCAAAGUGCUGGGAUUACACGCGUGAGCCACUGUGCCCAGCCGAUCUGAUGCUUUUAUAAAGGGCUUUCCCCGUCCCCCUUCCUCUCUCUCACCACCCUGUGAGAAAGGUGCCUUUCUUCCCCCUUCACGUGAACUGCCUCCAUGAUUGUAAGCUUCCUGAGGCCUCCCCAGCUAUAAGGAACUGUGAGCCAAUUAAACUGCUUUAUAAAUUAA
rnacentral:lncRNA from 1 species